rnacentral:lncRNA from 10 species
CCUGAGUAUCCAUUUCUUGCUCUUGUUUGACUCUACUUUAACACCGAAAGGAGAAUGCUUCCUUUACUCCCACCCUUGCUGAAUGCUGCUCAAGAAGAGUGGGGAACACGGCUUUCUUGUGCCUCUGUACAAGUAGAGCAGAAGAACCUGCCAUGGAGAUCCUGUAGAGGUGGCCCUCUGUGGAUAAUACAGAGAUCUUGCACAGAAAAGUAGCUUGCUUCAGGUCACAGGGCUGCAAUAUCCUAGGGUUUUACUUUGUGACAUCAUUGCUUCUCGAGAACCAACUGACCACGAACAGCAACAAGGUCUUCAAUCAGAAUUAAAACUCAAUUCAAAACACUUUCGAAGAGCAUUUGGAGAUACAUAUUAAGAGACUGCAGUGUCUAAACUUUUAGAAGUAAAAAUGCCAUUUCUAGUCCUAUGUCCUACAAAUUCCAUUUCUAGGUAUAUACCCAAGAAAAAUGAAAAUGUAUGUCCACAUAGAAACUUCUGCAAAAAUGUUUCUACUAGCAUUAUUCAUAAUAGUAAUGUGUGGAAACAACCCAAAUGUCCAUCAACAGACAAAUGGAUAAACAAAAUGUAGUAUAUAUCCCUACAGUGAAAUAUUAUUUGCCUAUAAAAGGGAAUGAAGUAUUGAAGGCUACAAUGUGGAUGAGCCUUGGAAACAUUAUACUAAGUGAAAGAAGUUAGUUACAUAAGACCACAUAUUACAUGAUUCUAUUAAUAUAAAACAUCCACAACAGGGAAAUCUAUGGAGACAGAAUGCAGACUAUUGGUAGGGGUGGUGGGAAGGGGAGAAAAGGGUAGGGAAGUGAUAGCUAAAGAGUACUGGGUUUCUUUUGGAGAUAAUAAAAAUGUUUCAAAAUUGACUUUGGUGAUGGUUUCAUGUAUCUGUGAAUACACAAAAAACACAUAUAAUUAUACUGUAAAAAUGGGUGAAUUAUGUGGUGAGUGAAUAAUACUCAACAAAUCUCUUCAAAAAUAAUUAUAUUUAUGGGAAAUCAAAGUUGAGAAAAUGAUCCAAAAUAAACCAGAAAACUCCUUUCG